CAGCGACAAAGGCACCCCUGCCGAAAGGCAGGCUCGCAAAGUCACGGGUCUACGGUCCCGCUCCGGCGGGACUAUGACGGCCGGACUGCCGAA
rnacentral:ncRNA from 1 species